CCUACGGGAGGCAGCAGUGGGGAAUAUUGGACAAUGGGGGGAACCCUGAUCCAGCCAUGCCGCGUGUGUGAAGAAGGCCCUCGGGUUGUAAAGCACUUUCAGUGAGGAAGAACGCCUGGUGGUUAAUACCCAUCAGGAAAGACAUCACUCACAGAAGAAGCACCGGCUAACUCCGUGCCAGCAGCCGCGGUAAUACGGAGGGUGCGAGCGUUAAUCGGAAUUACUGGGCGUAAAGCGCGCGUAGGUGGCUUGAUAAGCCGGUUGUGAAAGCCCCGGGCUCAACCUGGGAACGGCAUCCGGACCUGUCAAGCUAGAGUGCAGGAGAGGAAGGUAGAAUUCCCGGUGUAGCGGUGAAAUGCGUAGAGAUCGGGAGGAAUACCAGUGGCGAAGGCGGCCUUCUGGACUGACACUGACACUGAGGUGCGAAAGCGUGGGUAGCAAACAGGAUUAGAUACCCCUGUAGUC
rnacentral:rRNA from 1 species